rfam:Triticum aestivum genome assembly, contig: Triticum_aestivum_CS42_TGACv1_scaffold_093126_2AL
GACAUACUUUCUCCGUCCGAAAAUACUUGUCGAAGAAAUGGAUAGAAAUGGAUGUAUCUAGAACUAAAAUACAUCUAGAUACAUCCAUUUCUCCGACAAGUAUUUCUGGACGUAGGGAGUACAAU